rnacentral:rRNA from 1 species
UGGGGAAUAUUGCACAAUGGGCGCAAGCCUGAUGCAGCCAUGCCGCGUGUGUGAAGAAGGCCUUCGGGUUGUAAAGCACUUUCAGCGAGGAGGAAGGUGGUGGACUUAAUACGUUCAUCAAUUGACGUUACUCGCAGAAGAAGCACCGGCUAACUCCGUGCCAGCAGCCGCGGUAAUACGGAGGGUGCAAGCGUUAAUCGGAAUUACUGGGCGUAAAGCGCACGCAGGCGGUUUGUUAAGUCAGAUGUGAAAUCCCCGGGCUCAACCUGGGAACUGCAUUUGAAACUGGCAAGCUAGAGUCUCGUAGAGGGGGGUAGAAUUCCAGGUGUAGCGGUGAAAUGCGUAGAGAUCUGGAGGAAUACCGGUGGCGAAGGCGGCCCCCUGGACGAAGACUGACGCUCAGGUGCGAAAGCGUGGGGAGCAAACAGGAUUAGAUACCCCUGGUAGUCCACGCUGUAAACGAUGUCGAUUUUGGAGGUUGUGCCCUUGAGGCGUGGCUUCCGGAGCUAACGCGUUAAAUCGACCGCCU